rnacentral:tRNA from 1 species
GGCCUAAAUCCCUUUAGACACA